CUCCAGGUCUAACUGAUGGACCUCGCACCUCUGCUGGAAUUCUCUAUCAACUAUAUAUGGAUGAAGGCAUCAUCUCCAUGGAGCUGGGAAGUCAUAUGAAAAUGGAGCCACCUGAAACGCACAACUCUAACCCAGCACAUCAAGAUCCUCCAGUAGAUCUCAAAGCCCUCUUGACCCGGUUGAGCUCCAGAUUGAUUAUCAUUACCAAUGUACUCUUCCUGCCACGGGAUGGGACCCAAGCGUGGAGCCCCCCACACCACUCUGUUCAACAACUUGACUAUAAUUCAUCCAUCCUGCAGUCAACAAUGUGCGUUGAUACUUACAGUAUCUUGGAAGCUGAAGAUCCAAAGGAAAACAAGACUUUGCUCCUCUCCUCAUGGAGCUCAUCGUCCUGCACGGGGGGGGGGUGAACUGAUAGACACCUGACGUCAGAGAAUAUAGUGAGUUCUAGGAAGUUCUAGGGGAAGUCUGUUGCCUGCUGAACACCUCCACCCUCACGCACACAGAAUAUGCUCUAGAUUCCAGACAAUCAUAAAUACAACAAAAAAUGAGCACACACUGGUACAUCCUGAUGUCAGAUAUGCUAACCCUGUAGUGCCAGCAGCAUUAGGAACACAAACUCUUGAGGAUUUUUCAUGGUGCUAAGGGUUGAGUGUCUCCACCUCAGGGCUUCAUCACAGUGGCCACAGUGCUACACUGAGGAGACUUCAAGGAGCACAUCCAGAGAGCGUGCAUCUGGCUCCACGACAAACCCUCCUCUGCAGCAGUGGAAGCGGGAGAGCUCCCUGUGGUCAGCAGGGCCCGGCUUAACCUCAGAAACUUUCCUGGGUGCCCCCUAAAAUGGCAGGCCAUCCCAGGAUGUACAGUCUAUGUCCUGUGACCCCAGGGCACAAAAUUGCAUCUGGGGCACGUCCUGAACUCACCAGGGCUUGGCUCCCUUCUCAGCCAGGAAACGCACCUCCAGAAAACAGCAGGUGUGCACAUGUUGGGUGGCAGCAAAAGGAGAAAUCUCGGCCUGCGCCUUUACCACAAAUCCACCAUCAACACGGUGGUACGAGCCCGGGUUUAAACGUGCGAGGAUUCUGCUUGGUUGAGUGUCGCCUUCCCAGCUCCUGUUCCCUUCCCUGGCACAGAGGUGCCCAGCGAACCUUAACCUACCCCUUGGCUCCAGCUCUGCUUCAGGAAGCACCAGCAGCCCCAGGAGCGAGCACACGGCACGGCCCGCGUCCCCAUGAAGGCUGUGGAAAGAGGGCAGUGGUGCCCCCUUCUCCUGCCCUCCUCAUUUCCCUUCAUCCCCGAGGAGCACAGUGA
rnacentral:lncRNA from 1 species